UACAAAUGUUAGAAGAUUGAAAGAUAAAUCAAUAAAUCAUCAUUAAAACCGCUGCAAUUCAUGAGAUCAAUGUAAUAUCCACAUUUCAGUCACCAUCCAUUGCAUUACAGCAUCCGCAAAUGAUAACAAUUUUCCAGAGAAAGGCCUACAUAAACUAGUUAUGAAAUAAUCUCACUUCACGAUCCAGAUUUUCAAAUCUUUCUAUCUAGGAAUAAAUGGCCAAUAACUAUAGGGCAUAUAUGCAUAAGAUGAAUCUUGCUAAUUGAUGCUGAAUUAACAAAAAGCUAGCACAAGCAGAUACAUUUUUUUUUCUCUCGUUCUAACCCUUUCCUCUCCCUGGAAGAACAGGGUAAAAAGAAAAGGAAUAUCAUUUUUUUUAUGACCGUGGGUGUUCAAACUAGCUUACGCGCUCCUCGACUAAUCCCACGGGACCCUGAAGUUUAUAGCCGGAUACUCACCUCAGUAGCUUUGAGGGGAUUCGAACGGGUGACUAUUGGGGAGCAAAACCAAGACCUAACCACUAACAUAAAUAGAAAUCUAUGAAGAAAUGUUGGUUUUCAAACCCAUCCCUAAUAAGUGAGGGUACCUGAAAUUCAAGAGGUGCUUAGUGCUUAGCCGUGACAAGUAGUGGUGGUUAUUGGUCUAUUCUAUCACAAAUAAGGGUUCAACUUCUUGUUCAGCAAAUAAUAUGUUUAGAGCAAAGUCUAGAGCACGCCAUUUACUACAAGCAGAUAAACAAAACAGAUCAUAAACUCAAUAGUCAUGAAUUAUGCUUAUAUUCUUCAGGAAAACAUGUUGCCUUACUCUUCACUUAGUCUUGCAUUGUUGAACACUUGUGGGUGAUAUCUGCAUUACAAACAUGAUUUUUGUUCGACUAAUCUAAUUUAGGUGCACUAGCUCUAGAAAUAAAUGUGGUAGCAAAAUUAACACUCCUCACACCUGUCAACAUAGUUGAUAGAGUGGGAUACUCGAGCCAUUGGUUGAGUUCAAUGUGAAGGAAAUAUUUAUCUUGGGAAGCCCAAUUUGCUCAGUUUGAAGGAUAGGAAACCUCAAGAAAUGAAUAGGAGUUGGAGAUCUUUCUCCCGGGGCGGAGCCAAGAUUUUAGUUUAGUGUGAGCAAAAUUUUUUCGACGUCGAAUGUCGAGGUUUUGGUCAUGGAUUUACUGACGAUAAAAAAAUAAAAUAAUAGUACGACAAUACUAAAAACGACAUAAUUUAUAUAUUACACUUGUUCCUUGCGAGUUUUCAUACUCUGUGCGAACCGGCACUGCGACGCCGCGAUAGGGACGAAUUCUCUCACUCGCGGACAAAGAGUUGGAUUGAUUCAAAUGAAUAAAAUGGGUUUGGAUCAAUUGAAUUUUGAGGGAAUGGGUUUAAUAGGACUUCUCUCUCUAGCUGGACAGGGAAGUGGGUUAAAAAAAUAAUAAUAAUAAUAAAUAAAUUCUGCCCAAAUGUCCAGUGACACGCUUUGGCUCCACCCAUUCUUUCUCCUCUCUGUGUGCCUGUUUAUGUUCAGUGGUGGUGGAGAGGCAUGAGUCUAAAAUAGAGACUUUCAAUCUUUUGAGAGAGAAGGAGCUUUAAUUUCCAAAUUCCUUUGCCCAAUACUUAAUGUAACUGAAUUGGCACUGAACUGAUUCAAAUAGGGAGGCCCAGUUAAUUAGUUCAAAUGGCUGUUUCGGCUUUGUCCAUGUCACAAUUCAGUUUCAGUUCCGUUCAUUACUAUAGUUGUAAGCUAAUUAAAACACCCAAAUGCAUGCAUCUCCAAGACGAUUUCUGUUUACAUACUUUUGAAUAUGAAUAUUCUUACACUCUCCUAGAGGAAAGAUAUGUUGUAAUAAGAAUAUAGAGUGAGGUCAGUGUCAAAGUUUUCUAAACAGAUAGUUCAAAUAUCUUUAAUACUCUAUAUUUCCAAUCUCUCAAACAUUGUUUCUACUACAGUACUUAAAGAAAAGCUUCUUAUAUGAUUGGCUUACCUGGAAUAGGAACAACAUCGUCUCCUUGAUGAAGAACCCAUGCAAGCGCUAGUUGAGCAGGAGUGCAUCCAUGCUUCUUAGCCAAUGCUUCUACACGAAAGUAUAAGACUUUAUUCUUAUCAAAGUUCUCUCCCUGAAGUCUUGGGUGAUCUGCCUGAAGGUACAAAAAUGACACUACUUCUCAGCAACUAGAGAUUAUAAAAGCGAAGAAACUACAAAUUGAUCUUUGAUACUAAAGAAGAUAUUACACAUUGAAAAUUUUAAAAGACAUAGAUGCGUACACACCAAUGAGUUAUUUUCCAUGCUUCCCACAACAGCCUUCCCAGCAAAAAACCCUCGACCUAAGGGACUGUAUGGAACUAUUCCAAUCCCAAGUUCUCUAUGAUCCAUUUCCGAAAAGAAAAAAAGAAACACUACAUGAGAUCAUAAUCUUUAAAUAUGAAGGAUGACAAUUAGAAAAAUAACCGACACAAGCUUGAAUUGUAGUAGUGGAAAGAAGAUUAAUCAGAGUAUUGAAGCAUUGAUAGAAAAGAGGGAAAAUACUUAUUGUAUUCUAAUUAAAAGCACAACGUUCAAAACACUAACUGAGACGGUAGUUUUAACCAUUAGUACUGCAAAUUAAAUUCAGGAAGAAAAAUACAAAAACAUGGAAGCAUUAAAAUAGAAUACAGGAGCUCAACAUUGUAAUGUUAAUCCUAGGAGAAAAACGACAUCAAAUAAUUAUGUUGUGCAAAAUUAAUUUCAAAUUCAAACAUCAGCUCUUAAGUUCCUAUUUAGAUAGCAAGUUGCAAAAAUGUUAGCUGAAUAUAAUAUUUUAUGAGUGUUACAACAAAAAUGGGUUGUAAUGCUUCUUUGACUGCAAUAUAUACAAUGUUCUAAUUCUUGAUGGAUGUAGGUUUUGAUAAUUAAGCAACCUUUUAUUUUGAAAGAAUAAUGCUAUUGGCAGUGAAAACUAUCAGCAAUCGUCCUAUGUAGCGUAUACUUAGCAAUUUUUUAUUUGAUGUAUAAUUCAAAAAAUAACUACCAUAUAUAUAUAUAUAUAUCAAAUACCAAAUUGUGAAGUGUAUGCCACAUAGAGCGACUAUUAACAGUCUUCACUACGAAUAGCAUUACUCUUAAAAAAUAUAUAUCUAUAUAUACAUUUCUAAAUAUUGAUUUGACAUCAUUUCAAUCACAAAUUUUUCAAUAAAAUAAUAUUACACAUAAAUUCAAAAAAUUUUCUCAUUUUUUAACCACACAUUCUCUACUAAUCUACUAUUUUAGAAUAUAUUCUUUCAAAAUAAUGUGGCACAAACACUUGAAAUUUACUAAAAAUCUGAUUUUGAUUCCUACCAAACAAGUAUUAAAUAAAUGUAAACAAUGCGUAAUUAGAACGGUUUUGAAGUAAGAAGGGUUCACCAACCUCGCAUAUGAUAUAUCGGGACUAAGCAAGCCCAUUAAUGACCUACAAAGAUCACUGAGGAGGAUCAACAUCGGACUAUUACAAAUGACGAGCUAAUUAUUGUGUCAAGAAGCCCUUGCAUCAUCAUUGCUAUCAAGGAUCAAUCACAAUUUUUGACAAGACAAGACAAAUUACGAUCAACUCGAUCAUGGACAAUUAUAGUCUUCUAAUGCUUUUCUCCACCAAUCAAAAGGUAUCUCGCCAUAUUAUUGACACAACUCCUGAUGCAAAUAUUGUAGCUAGGGUAUUUCAAAUAGCCUAUAAAAGGGAAGGAAGAGAGAAAUAUAUAGAUAAAGAGAGAGAAGAAGAAAUAGAAAGAGAUAUGUUGGAGGCCCAUAUUGGCAACCACAAAAAGGUUAGGUAAGGUGACAAACGGGCUGCGCAUUUCACGAAUUCAACACUUCAUGGCUUGGUUCAUGAACCGUUCGAGUUCGUAUUGAAAAAAGUCAUGAAUCAACACAAGCUCAAUUUUUUGAAUUCAUGGAUCAGCUCAUUUUUUGACUGACUUUAUUUAUUUCUUAAAAAUGCUCUACCUCAUGGGAACCAGCCCAAAAAACGGUGAUGUUGAUGUUUAGCUUGGAUGUGAUCUUAGCCAAAAGCCCCAAAAAAAAAAAAUAAUAAUAAUAAUAAUGUCGCAGAGAAUGUUGAGUGCGUGAAAGAAGUCGCAAUUUAAAAAAAUGAAAAUGACAAAUACAGAGACGAGGAGAGAUAAAUAAAAAGUAAAAAGGAAAAAAGGUAGAAAGAAAAGAAGAAUAUAGGUUAAGACUCAGGGAGAUGGAUGUGUGGCCUAAAAGGUAAAAGCCGACAGAGGUAACGCCAGAGAGAGCAGCUGCGACUGCUGUGCUGGUGAAUGAUUUGCGAUCAAGGUUGCUGAGCCAGGAUGAGUAAUUUUCCUCUUAAGUUGCGAUAUGAUACCAUGUUAAGAUUUACAUUUGCUAUAUGUAUUGACAAUAUUAAUAAUGUUACAUAAAUAGUCAUAAUACAGUUCAAAUCCAAAACAAGAACAAUUAUGCUACAUUAAUCUUCGUGUAAAAUAUACAGAGACUGUGACAAAGAGUCGCCUUAGCUGUCUAAAACUUUAUCACCAACAGGAAGCCACCGAUAUAAUUUCAUGUUUGUAUAAACUCGAAGAACCUGUCAGUGUUAAUUUUUCAUGCUUCUACUUAAUUUAGUACCAUUAGGCAUGUACCUACAAGCUACAUGGCAUCUCCAGUCUGACAGAAUGGUAAUACAUCUAGAAAACAAUUUGAUUAUCAAGACAAUCAUAGCAUUUUAUUAAAGAGCCCAAAAAAAAGAGGUUCAAUUAUUCAAUAGCCAUGCGAUUUAUUACUUGCCAUCUGCAUGCACACAAAGUAGUGGAAGUUGGAUAACCAUAAAGGGAAUUAAAAGUAAGCAGAUGAAACUGCAUCAAAUAUCGACAAGACUUAAAAACUAGUUUUUUCAACAUAACACGCUGAUAAUUUUCCAUUUUGCUGGUUCAUUUUGGGAGUGGAGUCUUCACAAAUUCCCACGUGGUCUUAUGAAAAGCCUCAUUAGAACUUCUCGACCCCGCUACUUCAUUGAUGGGAACCGCAUCGGUAAUUUCUUUCAAAUCAUCUUUCGUAAGCUUCAAUUUAAGAGAAUCAAUAUUGGAGUGAAGAUUCUUAAUUUUAGUCGUACCUACAAAUGUUAGAAGAUUGAAAGAUAAAUCAAUAAAUCAUCAUUAAAACCGCUGCAAUUCAUGAGAUCAAUGUAAUAUCCACAUUUCAGUCACCAUCCAUUGCAUUACAGCAUCCGCAAAUGAUAACAAUUUUCCAGAGAAAGGCCUACAUAAACUAGUUAUGAAAUAAUCUCACUUCACGAUCCAGAUUUUCAAAUCUUUCUAUCUAGGAAUAAAUGGCCAAUAACUAUAGGGCAUAUAUGCAUAAGAUGAAUCUUGCUAAUUGAUGCUGAAUUAACAAAAAGCUAGCACAAGCAGAUACAUUUUUUUUUCUCUCGUUCUAACCCUUUCCUCUCCCUGGAAGAACAGGGUAAAAAGAAAAGGAAUAUCAUUUUUUUUAUGACCGUGGGUGUUCAAACUAGCUUACGCGCUCCUCGACUAAUCCCACGGGACCCUGAAGUUUAUAGCCGGAUACUCACCUCAGUAGCUUUGAGGGGAUUCGAACGGGUGACUAUUGGGGAGCAAAACCAAGACCUAACCACUAACAUAAAUAGAAAUCUAUGAAGAAAUGUUGGUUUUCAAACCCAUCCCUAAUAAGUGAGGGUACCUGAAAUUCAAGAGGUGCUUAGUGCUUAGCCGUGACAAGUAGUGGUGGUUAUUGGUCUAUUCUAUCACAAAUAAGGGUUCAACUUCUUGUUCAGCAAAUAAUAUGUUUAGAGCAAAGUCUAGAGCACGCCAUUUACUACAAGCAGAUAAACAAAACAGAUCAUAAACUCAAUAGUCAUGAAUUAUGCUUAUAUUCUUCAGGAAAACAUGUUGCCUUACUCUUCACUUAGUCUUGCAUUGUUGAACACUUGUGGGUGAUAUCUGCAUUACAAACAUGAUUUUUGUUCGACUAAUCUAAUUUAGGUGCACUAGCUCUAGAAAUAAAUGUGGUAGCAAAAUUAACACUCCUCACACCUGUCAACAUAGUUGAUAGAGUGGGAUACUCGAGCCAUUGGUUGAGUUCAAUGUGAAGGAAAUAUUUAUCUUGGGAAGCCCAAUUUGCUCAGUUUGAAGGAUAGGAAACCUCAAGAAAUGAAUAGGAGUUGGAGAUCUUUCUCCCGGGGCGGAGCCAAGAUUUUAGUUUAGUGUGAGCAAAAUUUUUUCGACGUCGAAUGUCGAGGUUUUGGUCAUGGAUUUACUGACGAUAAAAAAAUAAAAUAAUAGUACGACAAUACUAAAAACGACAUAAUUUAUAUAUUACACUUGUUCCUUGCGAGUUUUCAUACUCUGUGCGAACCGGCACUGCGACGCCGCGAUAGGGACGAAUUCUCUCACUCGCAGACAAAGAGUUGGAUUGAUUCAAAUGAAUAAAAUGGGUUUGGAUCAAUUGAAUUUUGAGGGAAUGGGUUUAAUAGGACUUCUCUCUCUAGCUGGACAGGGA
rnacentral:lncRNA from 1 species